rnacentral:lncRNA from 1 species
UCAAUUAUAACAAAAUUCCUCCUACUCUCUAGCAAGGGUCGCGAAUUAGGUGAUUGGUAGAUUGAAGAAGGAGAUAGCUAAGUUUCAAGUAUUAUACCAACGAGAUUAUCCUCUGAAAUCAGCAAUCAAAAGGUAUUAUUAUCUUUUCAUGUUCUAAAAGAAAUUAGGGCUAUGUGAAGAAAUUAGGGUUAUUUGUUAAUUGAUACCUGUGAUUGAAAGUUAUGUGACUACAUGAAUACCUGUUAUCUGUUAUUUAUUUUUGGUACUUGUUAUUGGUGGAUGAAGUUUUGUGAUCUAUUUUUGUCUUUGAAGAUUGAGAAUGGAGAUGAGGAUGAUGAAUCAGAGAGCUCAGACUCAGAAUCUGAUGACACAUUAGACUUAUCUAAGAUCACUGAGAUGAGGCUCGUGCCUUCAGAUCCAACUCAAUGUAUUCAUUUUUUUCAACUACAUUAGAUUUCCCUUUUCCUUUUGCUGCUAUUUACAUUUUCUGCUAGUAAUAUGUGUUCUCCUUUUUGUUUUUAGCUUUUGACAUUUUGAAUGCCAGUAGAAACGCUAUUUGAAGUAUUUUGUGAAUGUGUUGAGUUAAAC